rnacentral:rRNA from 1 species
CAUUAAGAGAGUUUGAUCCUGGCUCAGGGUGAACGCUGGCGGCGCGCUUAAUGCAUGCAAGUCGAGCGUGAUCGUGGCUUCGGCCACAAUGAUAAAGCGGCAGACGGCUGAGUAACGCGUGAGUA